UACAGCUAGCGACUUAACCUUUAUCUCAAUAUGUUCAGGCUGCGCUUAGUAUUGGAUCCACAGGACCUACAAAAUCUGAAUACUACCCUAUUUUGUUUAUUGGGUUUACACAACUUCCAACUCCUUGUGUAUUUGUGCGAUAUGCCAAUAUGAUGGUGAUAUGUGUACAUUACUGAAGCUGCAAAGGUAAUGUUUUACCGCUGAAUGAAAAUGUUGUGCCGACAAUAAAACAAACCUUCAUAUUGAGAAUGAAAGGGUACUUUCUUUCUCUUAACUAUUUCAAUAUUCUUUUGAGAAACAUCUUGAAAGAAUAGCAUAUGUAUUUACUUUUGAGUUCUUGACUCACAAUAUCAAAUCUAUAUUUCCACUUUUUCGUUGUCACUACUGCUUUUACUAAACCUGCCACUGUUGACAUUAGGUAGUACUGGUAGGGAUGUGAAUAAUGUUUUAUAAUUACAACAGUUGGUGCUACUAAUUGGAUCUAUCUCUUACACUUACGUUGCUAUUACAUCUGUUCCAAAAUGUAAUUAGCAUUCUAAAAUGACAUACAUUUUGUAACGAGUGUAGUACUUGUUACUGUUGUGCUACAUCUCAAGAGCCAGUUAUGAUGUCGAUCCCGCCAUUUCCAGACAGUGGGUUUUAACAUGGGAUCGACCGAUUGAAUUUAGUCAUCAUAUUGAAAGCACCUUUAUCCAAGACAAUGGAGGAUGAAAACAGUCUCUUCAGAUUAUUAUCUCUACUACUUAAAAAGACUAAACAUGUUCUCUAUUCUCGCACUACAUCAAGCCCUUUCGUCAUCGCUCCCAUCGCGUUUCGCCCGCGGACGCGCCCUUUUCUCUAGCCCCUACUCCCCCCCCGCACCUCACCCCCGCAUCCGACGCCCCUCCGACCUCCUCCAACGCCUCCUCACACCGGCCGCCGGAUCCUGUCGUCACUGCCUCCAUUGCAUUGAUCCUGUCCUCCACCGCUUGUCUCGGGGGCAUGGAGGCUAGGCGUACUACCCAGACCAUGAACAAGAACAAACGCACGGAGACGCGGAACGAGGCAUAGGUCCCCGAUAUCAUGGAUGGAAGCCCAGAUCCGAAUUCCCCUCUUGAUAUCAUGGGGUAAUAUUCUGGAAUAAAAUUCGUGGUGCUUAAAUAGGAGACUCCACUGGAAGUUAGACUUAACUUUAUCUACUCUGGGAUGGGUUAUGGUUUAGUAGAGGGGAUUGUUCAAUUUUUGUGCAAGAAGCAUCAAAAUCAUGGUAUGGCCAAGCUCAUCGACUCUGUCCUCGACAUGGUCUGCAAGCGCAAGGAGAUCAAGAACUCCGACUGCCUCCAAUGUAUUAAACAUGGUGCCAUGUUUAUUUGUACUCUGAAUAGUAAUGCACCUGUAUGACUCGGUUUAGAACUACAAGAGGUGAAAUCAAUGGAUUUUAGUACAAGGAUAGGAGCAUAUUAUAGAAAAUACUAAUUUUCAGUAAUAAGUUACAGCUAGGUAUUGACACAUUAAGUAGGACCUACUUUGAUUGCACACUACCUUGACCAUUCCAGUGCCAUUGUAGCUUUAUCUGAUGGCUUACUUUGAUUGCACACUAACUGAUGACCUUUUCUUUACUAUUGAGCGUGAACAGGGAGGGGCCAUCGUCAGUGUUGGCCAUGCGGCGGCAGCAAGUACAAGGCAAGGUCGCUUGAAGAGAGUGGAGGAAGAGGACAAGGAUUCAGAGUAAUGCACUUCUCAGUUCUCAGUUAACAAGAAAAUGGCUGACACUGACAGUGAGGACAUACAGCUGCUUGUAUGUGAUAGUGGCACUGGAAUGGUCAAGGGUAUUCUGAAUUCAUUAUUGAAUGAAGAUUUAAUUGGAAGAAAGCGGACAUGAAGAAAGGAAUUAUUGGGAUUCAUUAUUCGUAUAUAUUAAUCAAGAAUGGGAACACAACCUUAGCCUUUGCCAUGCAAAUCCUGAUUGGCCGCUGCUUCCUCACCACGCACGAAGCCAGCGCAGACCCGCCCGCUCCAUCAGGCUCUGUAUUUCAAACCAAUCUUGCAAACUUUUGUUCACAUCUUAGAUUGCUUUUCAUGUUUUAAUGGUUGGAAGUCAGUAUUACUAAUAUGAACCUUGCAGGCAAACGAGAUGAAUCUGUCUAAAUGACCUUUCAUCAGUUUGUUCGUCAAUACUCAUCUCUUAGCUGAAGUCAAUACUCCCAUAUACAAUCUUUUAUUGUGGAUGCUGAUGAUGAUGAAGAACAAGACCUUUGUUCUCCACCUUCAGAUGAAAGAGCAUUCUUUGUACCAGAGACUACUGUCGUUCAACUCUCUGAGCCUGAAGUGCUAAUAAGUGAGUCAGUGAGUAUGGAAGUUCUCAUUGAAGUUCUUUCCACCUCUAAUUAGCAGCCUGAAGUUCUUUGACGAAAUGGGUGAAGACGGAAUUGAGUACAACUACUUAGAUUGCUCAGUUUUCCCUUGCUUAUUGCAUUCCGUAAAUUAUAUGAUAAUUAACAUUAUAUUUUGAUAAAAUUUAGAAAUAACAAUGAUGCAUGCGUUCGAAACAAGAGGUAAAAUAAUAGCAGAACACUAAACAAUUAAAAUGUUGCAAAACCAGAACUUACUCACCAUGUUGAAAGAGAUCCGAUUGGGAUGCUAGAAUUUGAACCUGGCAAGAGCCAUCGAUGAGGAAAACAAACCAACAAAAACCAAAUUCAAAUUUGGAAGCCAAGCCCCAUGGUACGAUCAGCAAGCAAUCCAGACCCUCGAGUUCUAAUUUUCGAUUUUUGAGACGAA